GACGAACGCUGGCGGCGUGCCUAAUACAUGCAAGUCGAACGCAGUGGGGACGGGUGAGUAACACGUGGGUAACCUCCCAUCAGAGGGGAUAACACUUGGAAACAGGUGCUAAACCGAUACUGAUGCAUGUACCCGCGGUGCAUUGACUAGUUGGUGAGGUAACGGCUCACCAAAGCCACGAUGCAUAGCCGACGUGAGAGGGUGAUCGGCCACACUGGGAUUGAGCAACGGCCCAGACUCCUACGCGAGGCAGCAGUAGGGAAUCUGCGGCAAGGGACGAAAGUCUGACCGAGCAACGCCGCGUGAGUGAAUAAGUUUUUCGGAUCGUAAAACUCUGUUGUUAGAGAAGCGGUAUCUAACCAGAAAGCCACGGCUAACUACGUGCCGGCCGCCGCGGUAAUAC
rnacentral:rRNA from 1 species